rnacentral:rRNA from 1 species
GAUGAACGCUGGCGGCGUGCCUAAUACAUGCAAGUCGAGCGAACAGACGCGGAGCUUGCGCCGCUGACGUUAGCGGCGGACGGGUGAGUAACACGUGGAUAACCUACCUAUAAGACUGGGAUAACUUCGGGAAACCGGAGCUAACACCGGAUAAUAUACUGAACCGCAGGGUUCAAUAGUGAAAGACGGCUUUGCUGUCACUUAUAGAUGGAUCCGCGCCGCAUUAGCUGGUUGGGAAGGUAACGGCUUACCAAGGCAACGAUGCGUAGCAGGCCUGAGGGGGGGGUAGGCCGCCCUGGGACUGGGGCGCGGACCCGGCCCCUGCGGGAGGGCGCAGUCGGCAAUCCUCCGCCAAGGGGGGAAACCUUGCACAGCCACCCCGCGUCAGUGAUGAAGGUCUUCGGAUCGUAAAACUCUGUUAUUAGGGAAAAACAAAUGUGUACGUAGCUAUGCACGUCUUGACGGUACCUAAUCAGAAAGCCCCGGCUAACUACAUG